rnacentral:lncRNA from 1 species
ACUAGUAGAGGAUUCAUAGACAGUCAGUAGAUGUUGAUGUAUUCAGAUUCAGUUUCGUUUGGUAAAAUUAGAGUUGUAAUCUUGUAAAGUUCAUGUUUAUAUUGAUCAAGUUCAGAGAAGUUCUAUAUUUUUGCUGAUUUUAUAUAGAUUUAAGCAUUUUAUCCAGUUGUUUAUGAAUUAAGCCUGUAGAAGGGUUAGCUUGGGGUCACUUGUGCCCCUAAGCACCGUGUG